GAUGAACGCUAGCUACAGGCUUAACACAUGCAAGUCGAGGGGAAACGAUAUUGGAAGCUUGCUUCCGAUAGGCGUCGACCGGCGCACGGGUGAGUAACGCGUAUCCAACCUGCCCACCACUUGGGGAUAACCUUGCGAAAGUAAGACUAAUACCCAAUGACGUCCAUAGAAGACAUCUGAAAUGGAUUAAAGAUUUAUCGGUGAUGGAUGGGGAUGCGUCUGAUUAGCUUGUGGGCGGGGUAACGGCCCACCGAGGCGACGAUCAGUAGGGGUUCUGAGAGGAAGGUCCCCCACAUUGGAACUGAGACACGGUCCAAACUCCUACGGGAGGCAGCAGUGAGGAAUAUUGGUCAAUGGGCGAGAGCCUGAACCAGCCAAGUAGCGUGCAGGAUGACGGCCCUAUGGGUUGUAAACUGCUUUUAUAAGGGAAUAAAGUGAGUCUCGUGAGGCUUUUUGCAUGUACCUUAUGAAUAAGGACCGGCUAAUUCCGUGCCAGCCGCCGCGGUAA
rnacentral:rRNA from 1 species